rnacentral:tRNA from 1 species
UUAAUUGAAGCCAACUGGCAAUUUAUUGUUAAUAAAUUACUUGGGCUUCAGCCCCAAUUAAA